rnacentral:rRNA from 1 species
CGCCUUUUGAACUAUAAACAUAAAAGGUCCUGCCUGCCCAGUGACACUUGUUUCAACGGCCGCGGUAUCAUGACCGUGCAAAGGUAGCGUAAUCACUUGUCUUUUAAAUAAAGACCGGUAUGAAUGGCAAGACGAAAGCCUAACUGUCUCCUUAAGCUAAUCAAUGAAAUUGAUCUUCCCGUGCAGAAGCGGGAAUAAUAAUAUAAGACGAGAAGACCCUGUGGAGCUUCAAAAUUAAGCUAACAGACCAUAAUGCCUUAGCGUACAGUUUUGGGUUGGGGCGACCAUGAGGUAAAACACAACCCUCAAGACGAAAACUAAGAAGGACACUUCAAAUAAAUAACAAUAUAGUAAUUGACCCAAUAAUUGAUCAACGAACCAAGUUACCCCAGGGAUAACAGCGCAAUCUACUCAAAGAGCCCUUAUCGACGAGCAGGUUUACGACCUCGAUGUUGGAUCAGGACCCCCAAAUAAUGUAACAAUUAUUAAAGGUUCGUUUGUUCAACGAUUAAAGUCCU